UGUAUGCCGAAUUGCAGGGGCAAUUACGAUAAUGGACCUAAAGUCAGUGUAUUUUAUUUUCCAUCUGACGAGAAUUUAAGACGAAAAUGGUUAUCGGCUGUUCACAGACAAGACUGGAAACCGAGUAAGCACUCUGUUAUAUGUGAACCGCAUUUCAACAAGGACGAUAUUUUAAACAGUACCAGCAUGUAUGACCCGAAAACUGGUAUACUCUUGACAGCACCGUUGGAUCGUCGACGCUUGAGAAAAGAUGCAAUCCCAUCGAAGUUGCCAGGAUGUCCAUCUUACUUGUCGAGUCAUCAAAUUGCAGUACGAGAGGAUCCAGAAAUUCGUAGGGGGCGUUUAGAAAAUCGUGCUCUUCAAAUUGCUAUCCAAGAAAGUGUGGACACACAUGCGAAAAUGAUUGAUGCGAUAUCGUUCGAUAGUUUAGAACAAAUGAAAACAAAGUUGAGUGAAUGUGAAAAGCACAGUGAC
rnacentral:lncRNA from 1 species